ensembl:lncRNA
GUCUUACAGACGAGUACUUAUUUGUCUUCGGCAGUUGUCCCUGUUUUGUGUUCCACUGCAAAUAAGGAGCUUAGUCUGAGGAUAAUUCAAUCCAGCACUGCAUCUCAGAGCUCUAGCGACAGGCGUGAAAUUGUUUUAUCUUUUUUGUUCUCGGUGCGCGGCGCUCAUUGGGUGAGCAUGCGGACCAUCUGCUGCCGAGGUAACUCUGGGGAUCCUUGUCAAAUUGAUUGUGCUCAGAAACAACUGAGACAGAGGAAAAAUAGAGUUUCUAAUUACAUUUUACCCGGGAUCUUGUUCGACUCUAGGAAGUGGUGAGUGAGAUCAUUUGCCCCUGGGGCUUUUCUUCCAUAUGCCUUCUUUUCCUCCAGCUAAAUGUGCAGCAAAUUGAAAAGCUUUCCGUACAAACAGGGAAUCAAUUCCUCAACCUACACUCUGCUGGACGUGCUCCCGUUCCACUGCAGUCCCAAUGGUUAUUGGAGCAGUAAAUGAAAUAAUGGGAAAGUUAGCUUGAAUAUGUAAAAUGGCAGCAUUGUCUGUGAACUAUAUGAAAUCAGCGGUGAUUUCUGAAGCAUAAUUUAAUGGUGAGACAGGCAGAGCAAUUGAUUUGGGGAAAAAAAGUUUAGAAGAUGAAUGUAAAAU